GAAAACUCACGCAAGUCAUAUCUCAGUGUUUGUCUUUGUCCUUGCAUUGCUGUUAACGCUCUGAUGCUAUUGGGCUUGUGCUAUUCCCAUACUGUAGAUGCUUUAACAGAAAAAAAUGUCAUCGAUAUGUGUUGCACUAUAAAUGUGACUGAUUGUUGGCUUUAGAAUGAUUUUGAAAGCUGAGUUUAAAGUGAAGGUUGCAAGAAAGGUUGUUUGUCACUUGCAUUUCUGUGUAAACCCAAUACAAUGGUGGACCUCCUUGUACAGUAAAGUAGCUAUCUACAUGUGUUCAUUGACUGGCAAAUUGUUUACUCUGUCACCCCGCAGAUAUUGAAUAUUAGACAGUUUUGCCGAAUUUUGUCACACUUAGUUUUUUAUUUGUGGGGUAACUGAAAACUCCCUUUGGAGUUGCUGGCUGUUUUAAAGAGUUGUACUACAGUAUGGCUUACUAACAAUUAGCAGGAUAACAUAAGUGUCCUGUUUAGACUCAGGCAGUUACAUGUGGUAUUAACCUUAUUUGUAUCCAUCAUCAAUCUCUCCUCCAUGUGACUCACAGAUGCAGGUCCAGCCUCUUGCAUUGGGAGACCUCCUGUCAGGGACACCAAACAUGGCCACACACAAGAGAUGAAUGACAACUGGCUGAGAUCUCUUUCCUAACCAAGGCACGUGGGAUCCCUGAGGGAAGAGGAGCUGCUGCUUUUGCAACAGCUAAUUGGGAUCCUAAUAAAAUACCAAAUA